UGACCAUGUCACCCACACAAGCUGAUGGCAACCUGUUAAGCCUUCCUUUGAUACCUUUCACCGAAAUGAUGUAAAGGUUCUUUGCACCAGUGUUAUCGGCGCAGUUAAUGGUAGCUGCCACCGGCAAACCCAAUGACAUCCUGAAUUUGUUCCCCGCGGAACCUCCGCGACCUUAACAAAGGUACAUUUACAGAUAAAGAAUAUAUAAAUUAGAUUGAAUAAGAUAAUGAUUGAAACUAGUGACAUCCUGAAUUUGUUACCCGCGGAACCUCCGCGACCUUAACAAAGGCACAUUUACAGAAAUAGAAAAUAUAAAUAAGAUUGAAUAUGUUAAGGAUUGAAACGUAAAUUAAAUCGAACAAAAUUAAGAGUAGAGGAUAGUC
rnacentral:lncRNA from 1 species